UGCCUACACGGUGAUGGGGUUCCACCGUGGCCUUUCGGUCAAAACCGCACGAUGCUGAUGACUCCUACAGAAAC
rnacentral:ncRNA from 2 species